rnacentral:rRNA from 1 species
CAAGCCUGAUCUAGCCAUGCCGCGUGAGUGACGGAGGCCUUAGGGUCGAAAGCUCUUUCGCCAGAGAUGAUAGACAGUAUCUGGUAAAGAAACCCCGGCUAACUCCGUGCCAGCAGCCGCGGUAAUACGGAGGGGGUUAGCGUUGUUCGGAAUUACUGGGCGUAAAGUCGUACGUAGGCGGAUCUGGAAAGUAGGGGGUGAAAUCCCAGGGCUCAACCCUGGAACUGCCUCCUAACCUAACAGUCUAGAGUUCGAGAGAGGUGAGUGAAUUCCAAGUGUAGAGGUGAAAUUCGUAGAUAUUUGGAGGAACACCAGUGGCGAAGGCGGCUCACUGGCUCGAUCUGACGCUGAGGUACGAAAGUGUGGGGAGCAAACAGGAUUAGAUACCCUGGUAGUCCCACCGUAAACGAUGAAUGCCAGACGUC